rnacentral:rRNA from 1 species
AACGAACGCUGGCGGCGUGCCUAACACAUGCAAGUCGAACGAGAAAGGGGCUUCGGCUCCGAGUAAAGUGGCGCACGGGUGAGUAACACGUGGGUAACCUGCCUCUAAGAUUGGGAUAACUCGUCGAAAGAUGAGCUAAUACCGAAUAAGACCACAGUUCCCGCGGGAACAGGGGUCAAAGGUAGCCUCUGCUUGCAAGCUAUCACUUAGAGAUGGGCCUGCGCACCAUUAGCUAGUUGGUAGGGUAACGGCCUACCAAGGCCAAGAUGGUUAGCUGGUCUGAGAGGAUGAUCAGCCAAACUGGAACUGAGACACGGUCCAGACUCCUACGGGAGGCAGCAGUGGGGAAUAUUGCGCAAUGGGCGAAAGCUUGACGCAGCAACGCCGCGUGAGUGAUGAAGGCCUUCGGGUCGUAAAGCUCUGUCGGGAGGAACGAAUGCUCCUGAGGUUAACAGCCUCGGGAGGUGACGGUACCUUCAAAGGAAGCACCGGCUAACUCUGUG